AAAUGAAUAGACGGGGGCUCACACAAGCGGUGGAGCAUGUGGCUUAAUUCGAGGCUACGCGAAGAACCUUAUCCUGGACUUGACAUGUUCGAAAGAGGUAGGAAGUAGGGGACGGAAACGCACCCCGAACGGUAUCCAAUCCGGAACCUACUACAGGUGCUGCAUGGCUGUCGUCAGCUCGUGUCGUGAGAUGUCGGGUUAAGUCCCAUAACGAGCGAAACCCUUACCCUCAGUUGCCAGCGGGUCAUGCCGGGGACUCUGGGGGGACUGCCGGUGUCAAACCGGAGGAAGGCGGGGAUGACGUCAAGUCCUCAUGGCCUUUAUGUCCAGGGCUGCACACGUGCUACAAUGCCGCGAACAAAGGGACGCCAACUCGCAAGAGGGAGCUAAUCCCAAAAAACGCGGCCCAGUUCAGAUCGAAGGCUGCAACUCGCCUUCGUGAAGUUGGAAUCGCUAGUAAUCGCAGGUCAGCAACACUGCGGUGAAUGUGUUCCUGAGCCUUGCACACACCGCCCGU
rnacentral:rRNA from 1 species